rnacentral:rRNA from 1 species
UACGGGGGGGGCAAGCGUUGUUCGGAAUUACUGGGCGUAAAGGGCUCGUAGGUGGCCCACUAAGUCAGACGUGAAAUCCCUCAGCUUAACUGGGGAACUGCGUCUGAUACUGGAUGGCUUGAGUUUGGGAGAGGGAUGCGGAAUUCCAGGUGUAGCGGUGAAAUGCGUAGAUAUCUGGAGGAACACCGGUGGCGAAGGCGGCAUCCUGGACCAACACUGACACUGAGGAGCGAAAGCCAGGGGAGCAAACGGG